AAGCACGUUAAUUAUUAUCGACUCUGAACUGAACGAGUAAAGGAAGCAGGAGAGUUCCACAUACAGGAAUAUUCGUUACUGCCUCACCCGGAAACCCAGGGCAGGAGGAGAGACGGAUUCCACACAGACAUACAUGUUCCUACAUUAUCCCGAGUUUUACCCGCUCCUAACCAACUGGGAAGAAAGAGGGAUGUUGGAUCCAAGACAGCUCUUUGUUACUGUGCACGCAAUGAAGUGAAACCCUUGGAAGUUCAGGUGGAAGUGCAUGAUCUGUCGGAGUCACAUUAUCAAAGUCUCCUGUUUGACCGCUUGGUGACCUGGAGCAGCUCAGAAAGAACA